CGCGGCAGCUAGGAGGUUCGCCACAACCAUCUUGCCAAGAAAAUUCAACCACGACUAUUAUUCCGUGUACAGGUGUAAACGCACACCUUAUUUCCUGAAGAAAAAUAUCAGCGCACGUGAUUCUUCGACAUCCAUUGGACGGGUGCUUGAAGGCUUGAAGCAUAAAUAGAUACUCCCUUCUACAUCCCAUCAUAUCAACGGUACCAUCUAUUUAAAAAAAAAAUGAGGGAGUAUCCUCUCUAUAUCGAACCAUGCAAAGACACACUCACGCACCCUUGGGCUAUAUAUUCUGGAUGCACUCAUCGCUGAACAGCGUAUGCUCUCCAGUUUCCACCGGCCUACCUAGAUCGGGAGAAUGGCUGACAGCUCCGCCGCCUCCCCCAUUCCGGUGGCCUAUUCAUCCGGUGAUCCUCCGUCUGCGACGCCGGUGCCCGUUCCAGGCAGUGAUCUUCCAGCUGCUCCGGCCGCCAAGUCUCAAGAAGCCUCUCCAGCUGUUCCGGUGAUCGAUCCUAGCAAAGAGGAGCGUAUGGGUUCUGGGCAUCCACUUCCCGGGGGUAAAGAUUAAAUACACUGGGCACAGGGACGUGUUAAAACCGUUCUCCUACAUCGAAUGUCCGGAACUGCCUUACGUGUACUGUGCACCGUGAGAUUGUGAUGUUGUUUCAGAUAAUUUCAGACACUAUGAUCAGGGAAUAAAUCCCCACUGGCGUUAGGCUAGUUACUGCUAGGGAUAAUGCAGAUCAGGCUGUGCAAUUGUAGACAAUUGUCUUGUAUCAAUAAAGUGCAGCCAGUUGGUGCCAAAGUAUACCUCUCUACA